AACGCCCCCGCCGAAAAGCGUUUAACAGAGUAGGCA
rnacentral:ncRNA from 1 species